ACUAACGCUGGCGGCGUGCCUAACACAUGCAAGUCGAACGAGGUAGCAAUACCUAGUGGCAGACGGGUGAGUAACGCGUAGACAAUGUGCCCUCUUGCGGGGGAUACCGUUCCGAAAGGAACGUUAAUACCGCAUAAAACGGUUUGGAGGCAUCUCCAGACCGUCAAACUUCCGGGGUGGGAGGAGCAGUCUGCGUUCUAUCAGCUAGUUGGUGAGGUAAUGGCUCACCAAGGCUACGACGGAUAACUGGUCUGAGAGGAUGAUCAGUCACACUGGAACUGAGACACGGUCCAGACUCCUACGGGAGGGAGCAGUGAGGAAUAUUGCGCAAUGGGCGAAAGCCUGACGCAGCGAAGCCGCGUGGAGGAAGAAGGCCUUCGGGUUGUAAACUCCUGUCAGUGGGGAAGAGAAUGGACGGUACCCACUGAGGAAGCUUCGGCUAACUACGU
rnacentral:rRNA from 1 species